rnacentral:rRNA from 1 species
GAUCAGCCCAGGUCACCCGCUG